rnacentral:rRNA from 1 species
UUACGGUCAUAUAACGCUGAAUCACCGGUUCUCGUACGAUCACCGAAGUUAAGUAACAUCGAGCCUGGUCAAUGCUUAGAUGGGUGACAGCUUGGUAAUAACACGCGUUGUAAG